GACAGCAGGACGGUGGUC
rnacentral:snRNA from 1 species